rnacentral:misc_RNA from 1 species
UAAUAAAGUGUUUUAUGGCACUUUUUAAAAAUCCAUAUCCACCUUGUGUGCAAUGUUAGAUCUCGCCAAGAUUGACGAGAUUUUUAUACAUCAACUCAUUCUUUAACUAAUUUGUCUGAAAAAUAUUAUGAAUACUUAAUUCAAAAUA